rnacentral:rRNA from 1 species
GACGUAGGGCGCGAGCGUUGUCCGGAUUUAUUGGGCGUAAAGAGCUCGUAGGCGGUUCAUUGCGUCAAUCGUGAAAUCCUGUGGCUCAACUACAGGCUUGCGGUUGAUACGGGUGGGCUGGAGUUCGGUAGGGGAGACUGGAAUUCCUGGUGUAGCGGUGAAAAUGCGCAGAUAUCAGGAGGAACACCGGUGGCGAAGGCGGGUCUCUGGGCCGAUACUGACGCUGAGGAGCGAAAGCGUGGGGAGCGAACAGG